rnacentral:tRNA from 2 species
GGGUCAUUAGCUCAGUUGGUUUAGAGCGCUGCCUUGACAGGGCAGAGGUCACUGGUUCGAAUCCAGUAUGACUCACCA